rnacentral:rRNA from 1 species
AGUGGGGAAUAUUGGACAAUGGGCCACAAGCCUGAUCCAGCAAUUCUGUGUGCACGAUGAAGGUCUUCGGAUUGUAAAGUGCUUUCAGUUGGGAAGAAGAAAGUGACGGUACCAACAGAAGAAGCGACGGCUAAAUACGUGCCAGCAGCCGCGGUAAUACGUAUGUCGCAAGCGUUAUCCGGAUUUAUUGGGCGUAAAGCGCGUCUAGGCGGAGAAAUAAGUCUGAUGUUAAAAUGCGGGGCUCAACUCCGUAUUGCGUUGGAAACUGUUUUUCUAGAGUACUGGAGAGGUGGGCGGAACUACAAGUGUAGAGGUGAAAUUCGUAGAUAUUUGUAGGAAUGCCGAUGGAGAAGUCAGCUCACUGGACAGAUACUGACGCUAAAGCGCGAAAGCGUGGGGAGCAAA